CCCCGCGCUACUUUUUAGUAGCCUACCGAAGCGCUAACAACAUGGAACAACUUGGAGUUAUUUGGACAUCAAUUAUGAACUUUGUCAAAAGAAACCACAUUUGUAGUGGACCUGGGAUUUCUAGAAGUGCCAAUGGAUGAAGAUAAUCAAAGGUGUCACCCAUCUUCCCCACUUAUCCUCUGGGUAUUUAUACCUGUGUUUUCUGUCUGUCUGUGCCAGUUUGUCUUGUUUGUUCAAGUCAACCAGUGUUUGUCUCUGCUCCUGUUUUUCCCCAGUCUCUCUUUUUCUCAUCCUCCUGGUUUUUGACCCUUGCCUGUCCUGACCCUGUACCCACCCACCUGACCACUCUGCCUGACCCUGACUGCCGUCCUUGGCCUCUACUCUGGAUUAUCGACCCCUGCCUGACCUGACCCUGACCCUGCCUGCCGUCCUGUACCUUGGCCUCUACUCUGGAUUACCGACCUCUGCCUGACCUGACCCUGACCCUGCCUGCCGUCCUGUACCUUGGCCUCUACUCUGGAUUAUCGACCUCUGCCUGCCUUGACCUGUCGUUUGCCUGCCCCUGUUACAAUAAACAUUGUUACUUCACACAGUCUGCACUUGGGUCUUACCUUGAUUCCUGAUAUGCUCAGGUCAGUCCAGCUCCACUCCACAAUCACAGCUGCCUACCUAGCUGCAGAUCAAUAUCAGCCCUGGCUCACAAAACAAAGCCCUUUUAGUCUUUGUUAGGUUGCAAUCACAGAUAAUGAAGGCUUUUUAUUCUGAGCCAGCAUCGUGAGGGUCAGAUCUUCGAGAGCAGUCUCUUUAGAAAAUGUCUAUGUUUGGUGAAAACGCUACAUAAUUGAAGGCAAGGAUUUGAGAGGUGGUUUAAGAUAGAAUUUAACUUCACAAGCACCUGACUGCAAGUUCCUUUAAAGGGCUUGAUAGCACAGAUAAGGGGG
rnacentral:lncRNA from 1 species